UACAGAGGGUGCAAGCGUUGUUCGGAAUUAUUGGGCGUAAAGCGCGUGUAGGCGGCUUUGCAAGUCGGGUGUGAAAGCCCUCAGCUCAACUGAGGAAGUGCGCCCCGAAACUGCAGAGCUUGAGUGCCGGAGAGGGUGGCGGAAUUCCCCAAGUAGAGGUGAAAUUCGUAGAUAUGGGGAGGAACACCGGUGGCGAAGGCGGCCACCUGACGGUAACUGACGCUGAGACGCGAAAGCGUGGGAGCAAACAGG
rnacentral:rRNA from 1 species